AUUGAACGCUGGCGGCAGGCUUAACACACGCAAGUCGAGCGGAGAGAGGUAGCUUGCCACUGAUCUUAGCGGCGGACGGGUGAGUAAUGCUUAGGAAUCUGCCUAUUAGUGGGGGACAACAUUUCGAAAGGAAUGCUAAUACCGCAUACGUCCUACGGGAGAAAGCAGGGGAUCUUCGGACCUUGCGCUAAUAGAUGAGCCUAAGUCGGAUUAGCUAGUUGGUGGGGUAAAGGCCUACCAAGGCGACGAUCUGUAGCGGGUCUGAGAGGAUGAUCCGCCACACUGGGACUGAGACACGGCCCGGACUCCUACGGGAGGCAGCAGUGGGGAAUAUUGGACAAUGGGCGGAAGCCUGAUCCAGCCAUGCCGCGUGUGUGAAGAAGGCCUUAUGGUUGUAAAGCACUUUAAGCGAGGAGGAGGCUACUUUAGUUAAUACCUAGAGAUAGUGGACGUUACUCGCAGAAUAAGCACCGGCUAACUCUGUGCCAGCCGCCGCCGUAAUAC
rnacentral:rRNA from 1 species